rnacentral:lncRNA from 1 species
CUUGUUGCCAUUUAAAACUGUCAUUGUGCCUCACAACUGGUUCUUUCCCAUAGUUCUCUAUGCAACAUCAAGGUUCGUUAAUCUUUCCUGUACAUGUAUGCUGAACAUUAGGAAGCUACAUUCUAUAGAAAGGCUAGUAGAAAAAAUCCUCUUGAGCAAGACUUCUUUUUCCCACUCAAACACAAUAAAAAGUCAGACAUGACAUGAAAUAUAUCAUAAGGGAAUCACAAAAGUACAAAAAAAAAAAUCCCUCUUACUGAGAGGGAGGUUCAGAAAGAUAUUCCCCCUUCAUACUUUUUCUUUUCAUAAAAUCAAAUCAGUUUUUUUUUUUCUUUUUGUGUGUGUGUGCUAUAGAAACAAUGUUUAUUUACUAGUGAUAAUUCCUAUCUUGUUUUUAUCAGAUUACCUUUAGAAGACUUCUAGCAAUGGCAAUUCCUUUAACAGAGUUUAGCACUUAAUUAGAGGGCUAAAAAAAUAUUUCAAGUAAUUAAUUUGCACCUCUAAUUGCUACAGAUACUGAUCUGGGAAGAAAAUCAAGAGGGAGAAAAAUGAUUAUGAAACAAAGAUGUCCAGAGACAUACUGAAGCCAUCCUGAAAGGAGCAAGUGGUUUAUUUCUAUUGAAAUGCACUAAAUAUUUGUUGGAAAGUGUUGAGAAGUAAGACUUUUCAGUUUCUCCGCUAAAAAAGGUCCAAAAACAAAGCUCUUCACUUCUGUAAAAAGAAGGCAGAAGAAGAAAAGUUCACAUUCCAGUCAUACUACCCAGGACUUGCCUGAUAGGCAAGAGCAGCAGCACCAGAACACCAAUCUAUUUGUCCUAUGUCAACUCCAGUACGGAAAUACUGCCAAGUUUUGGCAAGUGUGUAAGAUUUUUCAGAGACAUUGUAGAGGGUAGGAUUGUUUAACCCUGGUUAAAGAUUCCUAUGGAGCUUAAGUUUCAUAUAACUUCACUUUCUAAUAUUAGAGUUUUUAAUUUGCAGUAUUCUCCUGAGACAUUUCUCACUGAAGGAACGAAAACAGCAUCGGUAACUUCAUCGCUCUGACUCACCCACCAGUGAUGAGGAGUAGAAUGUAGUCUUCUAACUCAUUCACUUUCUGUGGUCUAGUAUUCAGCCACAAUGUCUUGGCUUGUGCCUACUGCAACUGGGACUUCCAGAUGGUCUUUUAUCCAAGUACAGGACAAGCCCAGGAACGCCUAGCCUCCAAGAUAAUUUGCAUGAGUUGUAAUGUAAUUGGAAUUGCCUUUACUCUAGCUCCAUCUUCAGUA